GACGAACCAAGCGAACGUUGUUCGGAAUCACUGGGCUUAAAGGGCGCGUAGGCGGGCUGUCAAGUCUGGGGUGAAAUCCCACGGCUCAACCGUGGAACUGCCUCAGAUACUGACGGCCUCGAGGGAGGUAGGGGCGAGCGGAACGGGUGGUGGAGCGGUGAAAUGCGUUGAUAUCACUCGGAACUCCGGUGGCGAAAGCGGCUCGCUGGAUCUCUUCUGACGCUGAGGCGCGAAAGCUAGGGGAGCAAACGGG
rnacentral:rRNA from 1 species